rnacentral:lncRNA from 1 species
UAAAAGUUCAACUCAUAUCCUAACAGUUUCAAUUCAUAUCCUAAAAAGUUCAAGUCAUACAUAAAAGCUUCAAUUUAUAUCCUACAAGUUCAAUUCACAAGAACAAAACCUAAAAACUAAAAGUUAUAUUCAUAUCUUACGAGUUUAAACAUAAACUAAAACUUCAAGUCAUAUCCUAAAGGUUCAAUACAUAUCCUAAAGGUUCAAUUUAUUUCCCUAAAGUUAAACUCAUAUCCUAAAAGUUUCAAUUCAUAUCUUAAAAAGUUCAAGUCAUACAUAAAAGCUUCAAUUAUAUCGUACAAGUUCAAUUCACAAGAACAAAAUCUAAAAACUAAAAGUUCAUCAAUUCUUAUCCUACGAGUUUAAACAUAACCUAAAAGUUCAAUUUAUAUCCUAAAGGUUCAAUUUAUAUCCACAAAAGUUCAAAUCAUAUCCUAAAAUUUCUAUUUAUAUCCUAAAAAUUCAACUCAUAUCCUAAAAGUUUAAAUUUAU